CACAUGUCCUUUAUGACUUUACCACACUCUUCUUUCCCUUCUGCCUUUCUAGUAUUUACCAGGUAUUUAUGGAGUAGAUGGCAGAGGGCCAAGGCAGGGCAGGCCCCUGGAGCUGAGGAGAAGCCAUUCAGGGUGAAGAUGAGAGUGAGGGAAGCAGAUGUGGGAGCUACCAGGGAGGCGGGGAAAUGACGACUCCAGUCCUGUGCAAAUUCAAGAAUGUGGAUUCUGAAGUUUCUCUUCCCAAGAAACACUUAUCUUCUGUUGUGUUUCAAAGUUUAAAGGCCAUGAAGAAUAGAAGGAAUGUGCCUUCCUUUUGGGCAAGACCUGGGGAAUGAAGGCUGGGCACCAUCAGAGAUCGGCUGUGUUUGUAGCUGUUUCUAAGUAACAAGUAGUCACCAAAUUUUGGUGGCAUUUAAAGAAGAGUAUUUGGGAGUUCCCAUCGUGGCUCAGCAGUAACAAACCCAACUAGUAUCCAAGAGGGAUCGAACCCGCUUCCAUGUGGAUACUAGUCAGGUUCAUCACCGUUGAACCACAACAGGAAUUCCAAAACCAAACUUUAUUUGCUUAUGGGACCAGGAAGUCAAAGGAUUCCAACACAGUUAAAUGUAGAAGUUCUCUAACAAUGUCAGCUGGACUCUACUUCUGCACCAUCCAGUGCGCUUUGGGCUGUCAGCUCGGUGCCACUCAGGAGAUGGGUCUCUUUUAGCCACUUGUCCCUGGGCCAGUGCUCAGUGAGGACUUGAUAAAUAUCCAGAGAACAAGUUUGGGAUCCAAGACACUCUCUGCCCAUGCAAUUCUAGAAAGGAAUUGCUAAAUUUUGUUUCUCUAUAUAAACACGGUAGAGUUUCCCCAAACUUCUUGAUCCUAAGAUUCACUUUAAAAUAUCUACUCCCAGCCCUUUCUCAGUUUGGGUAGGAGCCAGUAAUAUGUGUUUUUACUCAAAGGGGCAAGGUUUCCUAUGUUUAUAAGAGAAGGGGAGAGCCACUGGUGUUGAUGAAUGCUGAUCACAUUUUAAUGUGACAGGGAGAUCUUGUUAAAAUGCAGGUUCAGCUACGGUGGGUCUGAGAUGGGGCCCAGAUUCUGCAUUUCUGAGAAGUUCCCAGUAAUAUUUAUUGCUGGUCUGGGUGGCACAUGUUGGGAACUGCCAAUCUGUGGACUAGUGGCUCUCAGCUAAGCCAGUUUUGUGCACCAGAGGAUGCAAGCCAUUGUCAGGAGUCUUCUUUGAUGAACACAACUGAGGGAGACGUACUCCUGGCACCUUGUGGGCAAAGACCAGCAAUGCUAAAACCUACUGUGUGCAGCACAGACCCACAACCUAGAAUUAUCCAGCUAUGAAGGUGGCACUGCUGCUGUUGAGGAAGGCUGCUGAGGAAGAUCUCCUUCGUGGAGCAGAUGCUAUCCUUGAUUAGGUGCCAGCUUUAUUAGUUGCCACCACAGUUUAGUGUGGCCCUUCCAGUGUUCCACCCACGAUCCCUUGUUUGGAUUUUAACUAUUAUUCAGGCACCUUAAUCACAUAAUAUCCAUAAAAACCAUAGCCAGGAGUUCUUGUAGUGGCUCAGUGGUUAACGAAUCUAACUAGGAACCAUGAGGUUGCAGGUUUGAUCCCUGGCCUCGCUCAGUGGGUUAAGGAUCCGGCUUUGCCAUGAGCUGUGGUACAGGUUACAGAUGCGUUUUGGUUCCCACAUUGCUGUGGCUGUGGCUUAGGCCAGCAGCUACAGCUCUGAUUAGACCCCUAACCUGGAAACCUCCAUAU
rnacentral:lncRNA from 1 species